GCCUGCGUGCUGCGUCACUGCGCUUGCAUACUUUGUUGUCUUGGAAACAAGAGCCCGGGAAAGCGGGGCUACAGGAGCCAAUGAGCGGAACAUUUGAACUGCACACCGGGGAUAGUGUGCCGUGUAGUGAAAGUCGGGGUUGUCCCGCUGGGAGGUGUAGCAGUAGCACUGCUGUGGGAGAAUGGCAAGCACGGCCCCAGGGAGCAGGGAGCUAAGUCUUAUGGACAAGCAGAUCCGCAACUUGCUGGAGAUUUGCUUGCAUUCCCAUCUCUAUUCCAUCAAUUUACAUUGUAAUCACAUUUCCAAGAUUGAAGGACUUGGACACCUCUGCUACUUACAGCAUCUGGACCUUUCAUCUAAUCUUAUAACUAAGACUGAAGGGCUGGACUCCUUGACAUGUUUGCAGAGCCUGAAUCUGUCUUGUAACAAACUGACAUGGGUAGAAGGGUUAGGAAAGCUAUUUAAUCUCAAGAAGUUGAAUUUGUCGUAUAACAGCAUACAAGACCUUACCAACUUGGGUGCAUACACUGAAUAAUAGACCCAGUAUCGUGACUUUCCUUGGGCCAGGUUGGAGCUGCAGGGUGCCAUUGAUUCCUAUGGGAGGCUUCCAAAAUCAUGCACAGAAGGAUCAAAGUCGGAAAGGGUGACCACGGAGAAGCUUCGGUCUAUGGACGAUGCAUUUCGAAGGCAACUGGAAUCUGUUCUUUCUGCCCACCAGGCUGAGCCGAUCAAGCUGGCAAGUGACAAGCAAAAAGAAAUUGAAGCAGCAAAUGAAAGAGUUUUUUUUCCAAUCGCCUUUGGGGUUCUUGUCUCCACGUUUUUAGAUCUAGCGCCAAUAAUACAAUCACCGGAAGUGCAAUAUUCCUAUGCCUUACUGUUUAUGCUGAGCAGCAUGCUCAUUUAUUUCCCCUUUGUUCAUUUUAAACUGCGGGUCCCGUACUUUAAUGCAAUCGCUUGCUACUUACAGCUGUUGAUGGAGAUGGCACCCACAGAUAUAUUUGAAGAUCCCAAAAGCCAAUAAGAAGUAUUUGUAUAUGAAUUAGCUGUGCUUUUAUUAUUCAGAGAUUGCACUGGCACAUUGGUGAUGUCUAUGGAUAUGGGAAAUUUUGUUCUUACUGUAGCUGAAAACAUAAACAUAGCUUUACAAAUUACUAUAAUUGUUAAAUAUUUCAUUGUUCAGUAAAUUUCAUUAUCAAACCAUGUCUGUAAAAGAAAUCUGAUAACAGAAUUAUACAAGUGGACAUUUUUCACAUAAUAAUACUUAGAGCAAGCUUGAGAUUUUGAAAGAGAAAUUGCAGGGAUGGACUUUUUUGAUAUCAGACUCACAUCAUUUCUGAUACUUUACUCUGAUCCUUAAAACUGAAAUGUAGGUGCACCUUUAUCACAGAGUAAAACACUAGAGAUUGCCAUGGAUUCUGCCGCUCAUUAUUUAUUGCUAUGGGAUUUUAAAAUUAUUAUUUAUCAAGGGGACCAUAGUCUGCUUAAAUACUAGAAUGCCUUUCCUCUCUCCAAUCCAGUGGUACUGCAGCAGGUGAAAGAGAAAACCAGGAAUCGUGGUUGAGCUUAAAGUGAACUAGUCAUUUCCAUGCCUACAUCAGUUUAGACGUUAAAGUAAUACUGUGUGAUGUAGUUUCUUUGUCUGUGAGUUUCUAUUGCAGAAUUUAGAUUCUAUUAUUUCCAUAGAAAUGGGCUCACAGUCAAGAACAGAUGGCAAAUAAAAAAAGGAACUAAUGCAGAAACAGUGCAUCAACAUACUAUUGUUUCAUUAUUUUCAUUAUCUGCAACAAAAAUAAAUGGGUAAUAGAUUUGAAAAACAAAUGCAUAUAAAGCUUAUAUGUGUGGUUUUUUUUUUUAGAAAAGAUACAACUUAAAAUUUCAAGAAAACUGCCAUAAGGUGAACAACUAACAUAUAAGAAGUUACCACAGCAAGCAUAAUAAUGUUUGGAUAUAUUUACUAUCUGAAAGAUACCAAGGAUAUUCUCCUCAAGCUACAAGGCAUAAGAGUUGAUUCCGAUUGCCAUUUAGCAAGUAUAGACGUCGAGGCACUCUAUCUGAGCAUUCCUCAUGCCAAGGGACUCCAGGCUGUGAGUUAUUAUCUCACUAUGAAAUACAAUGAUAUGUCUAUCUAGUAUAAAUAAAUUUGAAGCAACUGGA